GGGCAGAAUUCAAAUUAGAAUUCAGCUUACUUAUUUCUUGACUCUAGCUUUGGGGGGACGAGGAUCAUGACCCCGGCGGCCUGGCCCCUCGAUCGUCUCCAAGAACAAGAGGCUAUCGGGAUGUAGUUUCAACGAAGCCCAACAUCUCCAUUGGUGUACGCGCGCAUUGGUCCGCCUGGCAAACAGCUGCGAGCUCAAGAGACGUCCCAGUAGUCCCCACCAAUCAGCGACGAAGCCAGAGCGGGGGGGUACAUGCAUGGUGCGAUCCAGGGGGGUCCCGUCCCCCAAGGCUCAACAAAUUAAUUUAAUAUUUUAAGUAACUUUAAUAUUUUAGGUAUAUUAGUUCUCAUUUAAUUUUAUUUCAUAUAAUAUUUUGCAAUUCUUAGAGUACUGAUUUAUUAGAAAAAUAAUAUUUACUUUUAAACAAAUUUAAAAUAUGAGUAAUGCUAACUAUAUAUAUACCACACUUAUAAUAUUUUAUCUCACUAUAUAUAUAUAAGAUAUAACACAUUAAUCACUAUUAAAUGGUAAAAAAUCAGCU